UGGAAUGCCCCAUACUGCAACAGUUUUGGGGCUGGUGGGCCGACGAGAUGGCGGCGGUAACCCCUCUGCAGGUGACUGAGGAUGACGGGGCGACCAUUCUCCUGGGAGCCCUGAUGAUGAGAGACAGGAGAGACAAAGCUGCCCUGCACGCACAAGAGGUAGUCCGGGUGGCAAUCCUGUCGGUCAUCUGGACAGCACGAAAUGGACGUGUGAGGGAAGGAAAACCAAUCACAGUAGCAGACCUCAAGAAUGGCACCAAGGAAAGCCUCCGAAUCACCAUGAUGGCAGAGAUUGGCCGCUGUCACCGUUCACCGACCAGGGGAUGGGAGAGAUUUUGGUAUAUCUGGGGGAAAUACCUGGCCCUGGUACGUCAAGACGGUGAUGAGACAAAGUCGAAAUUUGGCACAUUCCUUGGAUGAGGACACCAACGUGCGGAAUUCUGGAAUUUUUCGAACUCUUCGAACUACUAGGUGUACAUUAGGGUCUUUGUAAUACUCAUUGGCUACCUAAGGUUGGCAUUAGAGCAGUGUAGUGUACAUUAUUGAUAGGAAGGGGGAGGGGGAAGUUAGCGAAUGGCGAGUUCUUAAAUAAUUUUUGACUCACUUUUAUCGGGUAAAGCGAAUGAUUAGAGGCCUCGGGGGUGAAACACCCUCGACCUAUUCUCAAACUUUAAAUAGGUAAGAUUUUGGGGUUGCUUAAGCGAACCCCGAGGAUCAAUGAAAGCUCCAAGUGGGCCAUUUUCGGGAAGCAGAACUAGCGAUGCGGGAUGAACCAAAAGUCGAGCUACGGUGCCAAACUGUGCGCUAACCCACACACCACAAAGGGUGUUGAUUGAUACAGACAGCAGGACGGUGGUCAUGGAAGUCGAAAUCCGCUAAGGAGUGUGUAACAACUCACCUGCCGAAUCAAUCAGCCCCGAAAAUGGAUGGCGCUGAAGCGCGCGACCUAUGCUCGGCCGUCGCGGCGAUUCUGACGCCGCGACGAGUAGGAAGGCGCGGGGACUGCUGCGAAGCCUGGAGCGUGAGCCUAGGUGAAGCGGGUCCCGGUGAAGAUCUUGGUGGUAGUAGCAAAUAUUCAAAURAGAACUUUGAAGACCGAAGUGGAGAAGGGUUCCAUGUGAACAGCGCUUGGCCAUGGGUCAGUCGGCCGUAAGAGAUGUGGAAACCUUGUAUCAAGGGCGCACUGCGCGCUGCACAUCGAAAGGGGGUCGGUAAUGUAAGCAGCUCCGGAGAUGCCGGGUUGUGGAGGUGGACGGUAACGUAAGCAGCUCCGGAGAUGCCGACGGGGGCCGUGGGGAGGGUUCUCUUUCCUUCUUGACGGCUCGCCCACCCUGGAAUCGGAUCAACCGGAGAUAGGGUGCAGCGCCCGGCAAAGCACUGCGCGUCCUGUGGUGGCGAGCGCGCCCCAGACGGCCCUUGAAAAUCUGGAGCUGCGGGUACCUCUCACGCCCGGCCGUACUCAUAACCGCAUCAGGUCUCCUARGUGAGCAGCCUCUGGUCAAAGGAAGAAUGUAGGUAAGGGAAGUCGGCAAUAUGGMUCCGUAACCUUGGGAAAAGGAUUGGCUCUGAGGGCUGGGCCUAGGGGUCUGCGCCUCAAUGUCAUUGGCUGCCGGUGGUCUGCCCGAGCUGCUCUUGCGGUGAGGGCGGAGCCCGCGUGCCAGUGUGCCGACGGGGGUAGAAUAUCUUAUGUCCCCACCUUUUGGGUGGGGCCGUGGGACUCUCCCUACAUAUCAAACUGCCGACUCAGAACUGGUGCGGACAAGGGGAAUCCGACUGUUUAAUUAAAACAAAGCAUUGCGAUGGUCCCAACGGAUGUUGACGCAAUGUGAUUUCUGCCCAGUGCUCUGAAUGUCAAAGUGAAGAGAUUCAACCAAGCGCGGGUAAACGGCGGGAGUAACUAUGACUCUCUUAAGGUAACCAAAUGCCUCGUUAUCUAAUUAGUGACGCGCAUGAAUGGAGUAACGAGAUUCCCACUGUCCCUAUCUACCAUCCUGCGAAACCACAGCCAAGGGAACGGGCUUGGAAGAAUCAGCGGGGAAAGAAGACCCUGUUGAGCUUGACUCUAGUUCGACUCUGUGAAACGACUUGAGAGGUGUAGAAUAAGUGGGAGCCUUACGGCGCAAGUGAAAUACCACUACUUUUAACGUUAUUUUACUUAUUUCGUGAGGUGGAGCUGGGGCUCUGCCCCUGCUUCUCGAUCCAAGGUGCAGGUCCUCGUGGCCUGUCCGAUCCAAGCGAAAGACRUUGUCAGGUGGGGAGUUUGGCUGGGGCGGCACAUCUGUUAGAAGAUAACGCAGGUGUCCUAAGAUGAGCAAAACGAGAACAGAAAUCUAGUGUGGAGCAAAAGGGCAAAAGCUUAUUUGAUUUUGAUUUUGAGUACGAAUACAAACUGUGAGAGCAUGGCCUAUCGAUCCUUUAGCGUUUCAGGACUUGGAGCUAGAGGUGUCAGAAAAGUUACCACCAGGAUAACUCGCUUGUGGCAGCCAAGCGUUCAUAGCGACGUUGCUUUUUGAUCCUUCGAUGUCCGCUCUUCCUAUCAUUGUGAAGCAGAAUUCACCAAGUGUUGGAUUGUUCACCCACCAACAGGGAACGUGAGCUGGGUUUAGACCGUCGUGAGACAGGUUAGUUUUACCCUACUGAUGCACCACUGUCGCAAUGGUAAUCCAACCCAGUACGAGAGGAACCGUUGGUUCGCACAAUUGGCAAUUGUGCUUGGGUGAAAAGCUAGCGGUGCAAAGCUACCGUGCGUGGGAUUAUGACUGAACGCCUCUAAGUCAGAAUCUGUGCUUGCAGCGAYGGCGUAUGCCUCCUCGGAUGACACAAGGCUGUCGAUAGGGCCAGCCCGUCUGGGCCCGAAAGCAUAAGGUCGGAGUUGUCCAUCCUGCGGCGGAGCACCGGCGCCCUGGUGGUCCCUUCAUCGCAAUUUCUUUCGCUCGGGGAGUCGAACCCUUUGCAGACGACUUAGACAGGGAACGGGGUGUUGUAAGCAGUAGAGUGGCCUUGUCGUCACGAUCUGUUGAGAUUCGGCCCUUUGUUCCAAAGGUUUCC
rnacentral:rRNA from 1 species